rnacentral:lncRNA from 8 species
AUGGAAAAUAUUAUGACUAAUGUUUUCAUUGCUGGGCUCCCAGCGUGUGCCAUAUAUUUUCUUUACGCCAACAUUUAUUGCUCUUAUAAACUACUGAAAGAUAAUGUGGUGUUUGACAGUCAUCAGAGGAUUCCAAGUUUUGCCUACCUUUUUCUCAGAUAUGUAUUCAGAGCUCUUGUCAAAAGACAGGGGCAUUUGUACUUUUGCGAUAGCGAUGUCAAAGGUGAAGUUGCCUUCACCAUCUUUAACUGCAGGUUCAACAAGGAUCUACUGAGGAGGUUCUGUAGUGCAACUGGAUAUGGCUGGGACUACCCAGACAUUGAGUUCAGGGAUAUCCCUCUGUGUUACCCAGAGACCCUCUGUCUGCGAAUCUUUGACAUAUUAAUAUCUGCUGAGAAGUUCAGAUUGAGCCCUCUGGGUCUAGUCCGGGUACGUCAGAGUUUGAGAACAUGGCAGCCAAUAGAUGAGCUGAAGAAGGGACCCUUCAAGUUGCAGGCUCGUGUGUUAGAGUACAGGGUCGUUGAAGAUGGGGUGGAGGUUGACAUUUCUCUAACUGCCAUUUCACGCACUGACCAGCCAGUAUGGGAGAGUGUUUUGACAAUGCUCUCCCAGGACAGAGGCCGAACACCAAACACACAACCUAAACCUGAGUGGUAUGAUGGUCACAUGGACACAUCAGAGACAGAUGACGUGAAGGCGGUGGACAUCAAUGUUCCCUGGACUACAGGACUGAAGUUUGUGUGGGCUUUCUCUGACUACUCUCCACAUUGUCUCCUAACUCUUCCUGCUAAACUCUUGGGCUACAGAUGUACCCAAACUCCUAGUCUAUGGAUGCUGUCUAAAUGCUUGGCUGAAAUUGAAAAGCACAAAGGAGUUGAUGCCAUUAGAGCCCCCAUCUCUGUCACCGCCCAGUUCAAGGAACCAUUAUUGGUACCAGGAAAAGUGACCAUCAAAUUUUGUGAGAGUGUGGGAGUGCAGUCCAAAUGUGUUAGCUUCCAAAUGGAGCGAUACGAGAGGAAGAUACCUCACAUCACGGGACAAAUCUGCAGGACUACUGUAGAGGAUGUGAACUAA